CCGAGUUUACAACUCCCAAACCCCUGUGAACAUACCACUUGUUGCCUCGGCGGAUCAGCCCGCUCCCGGUAAAACAGGGACGGCCCGCCAGAGGACCCCUAAACUCUGUUUCUAUAUGUAACUUCUGAGUAAAACCAUAAAUAAAUCA
rnacentral:misc_RNA from 1 species